rnacentral:rRNA from 1 species
UUUCUACAACAUAACUUUAAUGCACCAGAUCACAUUAGAACUCCGCAUUUAAGCACGCUUAGGCUAGAGUAGUACUGAGAUGGGUGAACGCCAAGGAAGUCUUGGUCUUUUACAUGC